UUGAAGUCAGUCCCUGACUCCAACAAGGGAAAGAAGAAAACUGUGUUCUCUUCCCAAGCAAAUGAUCCCUAGAGAUAACUUCUUUGAGGCCCCUGUUUUCCAAAUAGAACAGCUCUUAGAGCCCUCAGAUGAGCUUUGGUAGCUGGUACAUGUACCAUAGCAAGAAAGAAAACAAGGGUUAUGAGGAAAUAUGAGGAACCUUGAUAAAAUGUAAGUCAGUGCUCUACCAUUCAAGUACAACAAAUGGAAGUCAGACAUAAUACUUUGUACCUGUAAGUAAUCCCAGCAUUUGGGAGGUAGCAGCAGGAGACUUGCCCCAAGUUCUAGGCCAGGCUUGUCUACAUAGUAAGUUUGAGGUCAGCCAGCACUACAUAGCAAGACCCUGCCUCAAACAACAAAGGAAAAUGGAGAUGUUCUGGCUUAUGCUUCUGGUAGAAGAGUUAAAUUGGACUUAGAUCCACCCAAAUCCCCCAAUAUAAAUUAAAAAUGGUGAAUUCAAAGAGAGUUUAUGUUAAACUAGAAAAAGUAGUUCAACUUUCACUUCCUUUUCAAGGCAUGAGGAGAAGUAAGGAAGAUUCUAUCACACUCUUGCUGUCAAUGGUUACAAGCCAUAGCUCAGAGUGAGUAUAUGUCCCAGGGGCCACCUCCUGUCCUUCAGGCUGCAUGGUUCCAGCCAAGACAGGAAAGGGUAGUUAGCCUUCACAAACCCAAGUGGAAACUAUGUAUAAGUAUCUAUGUCAGUCACUUCUCUUGUUUCUUCCAUGAGACACCUGGCAACAGUACUUAAGGAAGGAAAGGUUUGCACUGGCCCGCAGUCUGAAGGAGGACAGAGGACACAAGGCAAUGAGAGCAGCUCUAGGUGUAGCCGUGGGAGCCCGAUAUAGCUGGACGCGCUGCAUCUGAAGCAUGACUUCAGGAUUUGUGGUCAGAAGCACGAGGUGGAGAAGUCCUGAUACAAUCUUUGUACUGUACGGUUGCCGUCUGGACUUCAUUGACUAUCCCGGAGCGAUCCAGCACAAGUGACAAGUGAAGACCUUGGCUGUGUUUCAGAAGCACAAUUACAACUCUUGGGGUAAAGAGCCUCAGCGACAAGGCCCAGGAAAGCAGGUGUAUUGAGAAUUAGAGGUAGUCACAGGGGAUGAAACAUAAAAUCAACGUGCCAGAGGUUGACCUGGGCUCUUCCACCCUCACUGUGAUCUUCAGUUUCGCUGCGUGCACUCAAGGCACAAACCUGGGAUUUGAGAUUUCAAGCUGUGUCUGUAAACUUAUUUUCAGAGACUCGGAGCGGGCCCCAGAGGAGAGGUAGGGAGUGGUCCUGGCAGCUGUUGGAUGAAGCAGGUUGGAAG
rnacentral:lncRNA from 1 species